rnacentral:rRNA from 1 species
CACGUAGGAGACAAGCGUUAUCCGGAUUUACUGGGUGUAAAGCGCGUGCAGGCGGUUUUGUAAGUUGGAUGUGAAAGCUCCUGGCUUAACUGGGAGAGGUCGUUCAAGACUGCAAGACUAGAGGAUGUCAGAGGGGAGUGGAAUUCCGAGUGUAGCGGUAAAAUGCAUAGAUAUUCGGAAGAACACCAGUGGCGAAGGCGACUCUCUGGGGCAUAUCUGACGCUCAGACGCGAAAGCUAGGGUAGCAAACGGG